CCAGUUGAUCGCAUGGUCUUCUGGGAAAGCUUUCGCGGUAUGGGAUGGGGUCGCGUCCUAUCAGCUUGACGGCGGGGUAACGGCCCACCGUGGCUUCGACGGGUAGCCGGCCUGAGAGGGCGACCGGCCACAUUGGGACUGAGAUACGGCCCAGACUCCUACGGGAGGCAGCAGUGGGGAAUAUUGCACAAUGGGCGCAAGCCUGAUGCAGCGACGCCGCGUGAGGGAUGGAGGCCUUCGGGUUGUAAACCUCUUUUAUCGGGGAGCAAGCGAGAGUGAGUUUACCCGUUGAAUAAGCACCGGCUAACUACGUGCCAGCAGCCGCGGUAAUACGUAGGGUGCAAGCGUUAUCCGGAAUUAUUGGGCGUAAAGGGCUCGUAGGCGGUUCGUCGCGUCCGGUGUGAAAGUCCAUCGCUUAACGGGGAUCCGCGCCGGGUACGGGC
rnacentral:rRNA from 1 species